UUCUGAGUUUGGGCUGUGAAAUUUAAAACUGUUUCUGGCCCGAAAGAAUAUAUCUCACCUCCAAACCCUAAUCAGCUGUGGUCGUCUUUCAUCAUCCUGUGACGGCGACUCGAUGCCGUUUGCUCUUCUUCUUACCAACUCAAACGUUCCGAGUAAAGGCUUCGUUAUUAAUCCCAUUUAUUCGCUCCCCCACCACUAUAUAAGCUACGUAUUUCUCCGUCUCGAAUCAGGGAGCUGCAGAUCAAUUCCGGCGGAACCCAAAGUGACGGUCAAUGGUAUGGUUUCUUAGUUUUUUCUUAAAACAAUCAAUUGAAUGAUUGCUCUAUUUUGUUUGGUUGAUUAAUGGAAUGAUUGCUCUGUUUCGAUUCUGGAGUUUGAUGGUUUAUGAUGAGAACGAUGACGAUUGUGCAGGUCUUGGUGAAGAUAAAACAGUGAUGAUCAAUCUGAGGCAAGAGUAAAAAAAAAAAACCGAUAUCUUUGGAGAGUCUGUUUAUGGUAGUGGCUGAUGAUCUACAGUCUGAACGACAAACUUCUCUUGAUUGUUGGUGCAGAAAACCCGGUUCUGAUAUCUGGGCUGAGCAAAUAGUCAGUGCUGGUGGUUAACUACUUCCCUUCAAGGUAUGACCCAGUUCGCCAUGCAGAGAAUUAUCCAACUCCACCUGCAGUCUGCUAUGUAAAACGUGGAGGGCCAUGUAUUAUUGAGAAAGAGAACAACUUCAAGGAGCCUAGAGAUUGCAAUUGUUCCUUCACACCAGAGAGGCAAGAACGUCGGUCGAUGGAUUGAUGCUCUGUCACCCCCUCCCAUCACACAUGAAAUCUGCAGCAUCUGGAUAUCUUACUGGUCCCAGGCUGAUAAGUCACUGGGACAGAAGCUGGCAAGCCGUCUGAACGUGAGACCAAGCAUCUAAAACGAGUGAACAAGAUUCUCGAUUGGUCGUUCUGUGGUUCCAACAGACGAGAGAAAAAAGAUGGGAAGAUAUCAGAUGUGCCAUGGAUAUAAUCUUCAUCAUGUGUAUCCUGUGUGUUGUGUAGUAAUAUUUUUUGUUGACCAAAACAAUAAAACUUCUGUUGUGUUGUGACCUUAGUCUUAUCUAUUUUUAUGAGUUCAUUUACAAUUA